rnacentral:rRNA from 1 species
AGAGUUUGAUCCUGGCUCAGGAUGAACGCUGGCGGCGUGCCUAACACAUGCAAGUCGAGCGGAGACCUGUGAAGUAGUAAUACGGAACAGAUCUUAGCGGCGGACGGGUGAGUAACACGUGAGUAAUCUGCCUUUUGCUGGGGAAUAACAUUGUGAAAACAGUGCUAAUACCGCAUGACAUCCGACUGGGGCAUCCCGGACGGAUCAAAGGAGAAAUCCGGCAAAAGAUGAACUCGCGUCCGAUUAGCUAGUUGGUGAGGUAGUGGCUCACCAAGGCGACGAUCGGUAGCCGAACUGAGAGGUUGAUCGGCCACAUUGGGACUGAGACACGGCCCAGACUCCUACGGGAGGCAGCAGUGGGGAAUAUUGGGCAAUGGGCGAAAGCCUGACCCAGCAACGCCGCGUGAAGGACGAAGGCCUUCGGGUUGUAAACUUCUUUGAUCAGGGACGAAAAAAAUGACGGUACCUGAAGAACAAGCCACGGCUAACUACGUGCCAGCAGCCGCGGUAAUA